rnacentral:rRNA from 1 species
UACAGAGGUCCCAAGCGUUGUUCGGAUUCACUGGGCGUAAAGGGUGCGCAGGUGGUCGGGUAAGUCUGAUGUGAAGUCCCGCAGCUUAACUGCGGAAUGGCAUUGGAUACUAUUCGGCUAGAGGGUUGGAGGGGGGACUGGAAUUCUCGGUGUAGCAGUGAAAUGCGUAGAUAUCGAGAGGAACACCAGUGGCGAAGGCGAGUCCCUGGACAACUCCUGACGCUGAGGCACGAAAGCUAGGGGAGCAAACAGG